UACGUAGGGGGCAAGCGUUGUCCGGAUUUAUUGGGCGUAAAGAGCGUGUAGGCGGCCAGAUAGGUCCGUUGUGAAAACUCGAGGCUCAACCUCGAGACGCCGAUGGAAACCAUUUGGCUAGAGUCCGGAAGAGGAGAGUGGAAUUCCUGGUGUAGCGGUGAAAUGCGCAGAUAUCAGGAAGGACACCCGUGGCUAAGGCGGCUCUCUAGUACGGUACUGACGCUGAGACGCGAAAGCGUGGGGAGCGAACUGG
rnacentral:rRNA from 1 species